UGGGGAAUUUUGGACAAUGGGGGAAACCCUGAUCCAGCCAUCCCGCGUGUGCGAUGAAGGCCUUCGGGUUGUAAAGCACUUUUGGCAGGAAAGAAACGCCAUGGGUUAAUACCCCGUGAAACUGACGGUACCUGCAGAAUAAGCACCGGCUAACUACGUGCCAGCAGCCGCGGUAAUACGUAGGGUGCAAGCGUUAAUCGGAAUUACUGGGCGUAAAGCGUGCGCAGGCGGUUCGGAAAGAAAGAUGUGAAAUCCCAGAGCUCAACUUUGGAACUGCAUUUUUAACUACCGGGCUAGAGUGUGGCAGAGGGAGGUGGAAUUCCGCGUGUAGCAGUGAAAUGCGUAGAUAUGCGGAGGAACACCGAUGGCGAAGGCAGCCUCCUGGGAUAACACUGACGCUCAUGCACGAAAGCGUGGGGAGCAAACAGG
rnacentral:rRNA from 1 species